UUCUACGAGGCUACUCUCACUUGUGGGCUUAGGCUUCCCGUCCAUCCGUUGGUGAUGGAGCUUUUAGAUUAUUUUGGCAUUGCUCCCGAGCAGCUUAUGCCCAAUUCAUGGAGGAUAGUGAUCAACUGUAUGGAAAUAUGGUUGGUCGCUAACGAGGAUAUGAUCAAGGUGAGUGAGCUCGUCUACCUUUACCGUUUAAAAGAGUCAAAAGAAUAUGGAUAUUAUGAGUUAGUACCUUGGGCGAGGAGGAUUAGGAUCGUCAAGGGUUUACCCUCGUCAUUUAGGUAUUGAAAGUCUCGUUUCUUUUUCGUGUCAGGUGACGAUUUUGAAACCCCUUCUAGCGAGGCUUGGGGUGAUAUCCCAAGGUUGCUCCGUCGGUGGGGAACCCCGAACUUAGUUAAGAGACGUCCUAAGUUAAAGUGCAAAUACCAAGAUCGUGUUGAAAAGGCGAUAGAGUACGCCAGGACGAUUGAAAGUUGCGAGGACCUUGUAGAUCCACGGAUGCUAGCAUUCUAUUGCUUAGGCCCGGACCCAUCUCCCUACGUCUUGCGCAACAUCGACAUCAAGGGAAAAAAUAGUAAGUAUUGACUUCGUCAGUGUUAACCUCCUUUUUUUUUUUUUAAGUGUUUCCUUCUUGCAGAGAUGACGACUAAGUUCAACAAGGACAUGUAUGCCAAGAUGAGGUCUAAGAAGGACGAGCCUUUGUCCAAUAUCGGGAAGAAGGGAGUGUGCGUGACUGGGAAAGGCCAGUCCGCUACUCCAGUUGUUUCGGUUACUCCAGUCAUCUUCGGUGCUGAGACCGUGAGGACGAUCUCUCCAGCCGUUUCGGUUGAAGAGAUUCCCACUCCUUCGUCAAAGAGGCAGCGAAUAUCAGGCAAGGAGAAGGAGAAGGCUGAUUCUCAUUCAUCCACUGUAUAGGGAGAUCAAGGUCUAGCUGUGGACAGGGCACACGGAGUUGUUACGGUCGAGGACUUAAAGGUUUUUGCCGACAUGCCUUUCAAUGUGGUCGCAAAUCAACAAGUCCACAAGCUCAUCUAGGUGUUGGGGGAGAGUCUCCACAUUGCUUCUAAGUACCUCACUCAGGAGGCCAAUGUGGCAUCACUAACGUCCAAAAUGGAGGCCCUGGACAAGGAGAAUUCUACAAUGAAGAAAAAGCUCAUUGAUUCCAUGCACGAGGUCAAUACCUUGAAGGAAAGUACUAAGACUUUGUCCGACAAUCUUCGUGCUGAGCGUUAGUUGACCUUGGAGAAGGACGAAUAGCUUCUGGCAGCCAAGGAAAAGCUCAAGACUAUUGCAGCAAGGUCCGUCAAGGCUUUCCAGUAGACUGAUGAGUACAACACUGUGCUCUUCAAUUGGUACUUCAAAGGCUUUGAGCUUUUAAGGCGGUAUCUCAUCAAGCAUCCCACAAGAGUUGAUUUGCAAAACUUGGAUCUUGAGGUGGUGGACCAGGAGAUGGCGACUGACGAGGCUUCCUAAUCUUUUGUUCUUGAAGAUGAUGUCCCUGACAAGACUAUUGCAGACGAUGCUGAUGCUGCCAGGAAUGGUGCUCCUAUAGGUGAUGACGCUGUCGCUGGCCCCUGAAUCUUCAUACUUAUGGAAAUUUCUUCUUUUCUUUUGUUAGCCUGUCAUGUUUUCGGCUUUUUUGUAAAUCUAAUUUUAGAACAAUUUAAUCUGUCCCGAGAACAAUUUUUUGUGUUGCCCAGUGUUUAUGGGUUUUUUGGGUAUAACAACAAUGGUAAUUUGCCCUUGGUUUUUGGGCUUUUAAUUGAAUUUGCAACAUACUUACUUGUUCGUCAAA